rnacentral:rRNA from 1 species
AUUGAACGCUGGCGGCAUGCCUUACACAUGCAAGUCGAACGGCAGCACGGGUGCUUGCACCUGGUGGCGAGUGGCGAACGGGUGAGUAAUACAUCGGAACAUGUCCUGUAGUGGGGGAUAGCCCGGCGAAAGCCGGAUUAAUACCGCAUACGAUCUACGGAUGAAAGCGGGGGACCUUCGGGCCUCGCGCUAUAGGGUUGGCCUAUAGCUGAUUAGCUAGUUGGUGGGGUAAAGGCCUACCAAGGCGACGAUCAGUAGCUGGUCUGAGAGGACGACCAGCCACACUGGGACUGAGACACGGCCCAGACUCCUACGGGAGGCAGCAGUGGGGAAUUUUGGACAAUGGGCGAAAGCCUGAUCCAGCAAUGCCGCGUGUGUGAAGAAGGCCUUCGGGUUGUAAAGCACUUUUGUCCGGAAAGAAAUCCUUGGCUCUAAUACAGUCGGGGGAUGACGGUACCGGAAGAAUAAGCACCGGCUAACUACGUG